rnacentral:rRNA from 1 species
GAUCCUGGCUCAGGAUGAACGCUGGCGGCGUGCUUAACACAUGCAAGUCGAGCGAAGCAAUUUAAGUGAAGUUUUCGGAUGGAUCUUAGAUUGACUGAGCGGCGGACGGGUGAGGUAACGCGUGGAUAACCUGCCUCACACAGGGGGAUAACAGUUAGAAAUGACUGCUAAUACCGCAUAAGCGCACGGUACCGCAUGGUGCAGUGUGAAAAACUCCGGUGGUGUGAGAUGGAUCCG